rnacentral:rRNA from 1 species
GACGAACCGUCCAAACGUUAUUCGGAAUUACUGGGCUUAAAGGGUGCGUAGGCGGCGUUACAAGUCGGGUGUGAAAUCCCUCAGCUUAACUGAGGAACUGCGCCCGAAACUGUAGUGCUAGAGGGAGGACAGGGGUAAGCGGAACUGAUGGUGGAGCGGUAGAAAUGUGUUGAUAUCAUCACGGGAAGCACCGGUGGCGAAGGCGGCUUACUGGGUCUCUACUGACGCGUGAGGCAGCGAAAGCGUAGGGGAGCAAACGGG